AUUGAACGCUGGCGGCAGGCCUAACACAUGCAAGUCGAGCGAGCGGCGGACGGGUGUGUAAUGUAUGGGGACUGCCCGAUAGAGGGGGAUAACUACUGGAAACGGUAGCUAAUACCGCAUACUAUCGGAUAACCCAUAUGGGGUUAGCUAGUAGGUGAGGGAAUGGCUGACCUAGGCGACGAUCCCUAGCUGGUCUGAGAGGAUGAUCAGCCACACUGGGACUGAGACACGGGCCAGACUCCUACGGAGGCAGCAGUGGGGAAUAUUGGACAAUGGGCACAAGCGUGAUGAAGCCAUGCCGCGUGUAUGAAGAAGGACCGAGGGUUGUAAAGGGCUGUCGGUGGGAAGGCGGUACCGAGAGAGGAAGCACCGGCUAAGUUCGUGGCAGCAGCCGCGGUAAUAC
rnacentral:rRNA from 1 species